CCGAGGACUCUUUCCUCUUGUGUUUCUUCUUUUCUGUCUUGGGUUUCACAUUCCUUCACCCAACCAUAGGGAAAAAAACAAAAGAAAUAAAACUGUAAGGCAAAGCUAGCAAGAGAGUAAAUCUAGCUUAUAAAUGGAAACACUGUCUGUUCUCAAAGGCAAACAUAACCAAGGUUCCUUUCUCAGCCAGCUCCGGUAAGAGGGAAGCAGCCAUCAAAUGGGUUUCACCUUCAUGUUCAACAGUAAAUCUAAAAUCAAAGAGAAAGAAAGGAAAAAAGAGGAAGAAAGGAAGGGGAAAAAAGGAAGAACCGAAGGAGAAAAAAAAAAGUACGCAAACAAACACAUAUGUCAGGAAUGCUCCUUGGACUGAUGGACUUGGAAUGAUAUUUAAGAAUGGGGAUUCUGAUAAGGACCCUUCUCUGGACUUACAGGGUGUUGGGAAGAUUAAGUAAGGUAAUGUGGGAGAGCUGCUGAAAGCUGGAAAGCACUAUACAGAGAGAAGAUAACUCUGUCCCUGAGGCAAUGCCCUCAGGAAAACAGAAACCUAGGAGCCAGGGUUGAGGUAGAGGGGGGGAGUGAAGUCAGAGAAGGAGGGUGGCUCUGCUGAGGAAAAUAGAGCUAUUAGAGCUGGAUCACCCCAUUCCAGCUCAGACUGAUUCACAGGAGGAAGUGCCCCAGCCCGGCCACACCUCACCCCUGGACUGCUGCCCAUGGUCUGCUGUUCCUCAGGAAGAGCGGCUUCCUACUGACCCAGGAGGCCACGCAGAGCCUCCUGGGGGACGAUGUGAGGGUGUGGGUGGGGGUGGGAGGGUGUUAGGGUGAGUUGCCCAGCAUGAGCUUCUCCAACCCCACAAGAAGCAACGAGCUCCCACCAGGCCUGACCAUCCUGGGAAGGCGGGGGCUGCCCUCACCCUGAUACGGAAUGGAAUACCCUUUUCAGAAGUUAUUUAAAUAGUAUUUAAAACAUAUCUUAUUUUUUUUUUAAUGUUCUAAAAUGGGGAAUCACUAGAGUUAAUCAACAUCAAGAAAAUGUGCUUAUUAAGGAAAGCUUCCCCUCAGGAAUCAUGCCUGUAAAGAAUGAGGCUUCUGGGAUCUCUGAGUUCUGAUCUGUCUUCAGGAGAAUCACUCACAGCUGAAGCUACAUCUAUGCUACUAAAGUGGACAUCAAUAUCGAUAACAACAUCAGUAUCAGCUUGGCUCCUCCAAUAUUAAAGAAUUUGAGUUAUAUGGGGACUACACAGCACACUGGAGUCAGUAAAGAGAUUGGACCCAUCAGUGGAACCUUGAGCAACCUAGGCAACAGAUGCCAGCAGGCAGGUUCCCGCCAGAGGAGAAGCGUAAGAGGAAGAACCCUACCCACCGACACCCAGAGGCCAUUUUUGGACUCCAUGACGGAGAUGGAACAGAGGGACUCCUGGCAGCGGUGAGCCCUCGAUUUCCACCGGAGACCCCAGCGCUGUCCCGGCUCCCGUGGGGCCCCCAACAUCCUUACCUGAACUGCCUGUUUGGGCUUAAGCUACUUGCAUUGUGUUCCUGUCACCUGCAGCUAAAGACUCUGGACUAAAAUCCUCUCCAGGCUUUUUUUUCUCCCUACGAUGAUCAAGUUCUUUACUUUCAGAAAGAGGCUAUAAACUUUUCA